GUCUCUUGAGGUCAGUCUGAACAACGGCAUCUCCUUCAUUGGCAAUAGACUCGUCAUCACCGGAACCAACUGUGGGAGUACCAAGCCUAAGGAGCCACCACCACCGCCACCUCCACCACAGCCAGAGAAGGAUCCAGAGGAGAACCUGCUCCCUCCUACAUCACCACCUGCUCCAUCCCCUCCUCCUCCA